rnacentral:lncRNA from 1 species
AGAUGAUGAGCUCAGUCAGAUGUGGACAUGGUGUGGAGUUAGAGAGAAGUUCCUCAGCUGGAGAAGGUCUGACACCUGUUGUGUAUCUAACCUUCAGCAGUGUCACCCAAAGAGAGAAAGCACCUAUGUUGGUCCUUCCUGCGGUACAUCUCACAUCAGAGAAGGAGAUAUGAACAAUCUCCAUUUAACUGCAAAGUUCCAGAGCUAGGAGAGAAGUCAGAGGUCACAUCAAUCCAGAUGUUGUGAACUGGUGGCUAGAUGGGUCUGCAUAAUGGACAGAUCUUUUCUUACCUGCCCUGUUUGACUCUUUUUUAGCUUGCAUAUUCUUUCAUUGUCAAUAUUGAACCAUCAGGUGGUUUCAAAUAAAAUAAAGUUUGAGAAUUUUAUUGAAAAAUCAGAAUCUCUGGCAACUUCAGAAUCUGUUCCUUCUUGGGAACAAUGGAGAGACAGUGGCCCCCUUUUACUCUCUGGAGGGUGACGUCCUCUGGCUGCUUCAUUUAUUUAUAAUGCAUCCAGAUGCUGUAGGCACCUGGGUCUGUGUUUCAUGUCUAAAUUUAAUCCUCCCCAAUUUCCUAUAUAAAGAAAGAGGAAAAAUGGAUGAUGAAGUGACUUCCAAGACCCCAGGGACAAAGAGGCAGAGUUCUCUCGAGACCUGGGUCUCUUCCACCAGGCCAACAUGGUUGUUCUUGUUUCUAAGCCCCAUCUUUAAAACUUUCAGCUGAAUGUCCUCUAGAACUGGAUUUUCACUCCUAAAGUUGUCCCCAGAAAAUGGGGGCACUCAAGUCUCUGGCUUCUGUGUUUUCCCCCCAAAAUAUUAUUUUUUCCCAUGCUUUCAGAGAGGAAUGCUACAAGUUUGUUACCAUUAGAUCUGUUCUGUGAGAAAUGCUAAUGGGAGUCUGUCCUUCCGGUCAAGAUGUAAAGAAGCUAAAAAGUCAUUUGAAGGUGUAUGAAGAAAUGCAGAUCUUCAGUAAAGGUAAAUAUAUGGGCAAUUUCGAGGCUGGUGUUACUGCAAUUUUGUUUUGUAAAUAUACUUUUUAUUUUCUACAUGAUUUAAAAAAGUAGUUGUAAUUUAUCAUGGAAAAGGUUGGGGACCAGAGAAAAACCAGGAGAAGAAAACCAAUCUCUCAUAAUUCUAUCAUCCAGAGAAAGCGGCUGGCCAAAACUUACGGGUCAUUUUCACAUCUGAUUGGGAGCUUAUUCUUUGAACUCUUCAGUCCCUGUCUACAUACGGAAAAAUAGUCCUCACUACAUGGGGACUAUUUUUCCAUAUCACUAAAUGUUCCCAAGUGCUGUUAAGGCUUCUGUAGCUGAGCAGCUGAUUGGCUUGUGUGGGGUGCUAUCCGCUGUAUUGGAAGGAUGGGCCCAUCACGGGCAGUACUGUGACCCUGUUCUCUCCCUCUCCCAUUCUAUAGCACCUGCCCCCAUAUCUCAUUUUAAAAGUUCUAUAUGGUGCUUUGACACCUUUAAGUCUCCAGGGCUUCAAAGACCUACCUGUGAAUUCUCUUGUUCUCAUCUAACACCCUCCCCAACCCCGCCAGAGGAAAGGCUCCCUGCCCACUGAGUUCCCCUAACUGCUGGGCCAAUUGCCUCUCACUUUGUCCUCAGCCUAAUACAUUUCACCCAGCUGCCAGGCAUGACAUUAUUCAAACAUGCCAGUCAUCUUCCUACAGACCAGGGCACCUCACCCCUGGUUACUACAAAGCUUGCCCCCCACAGUCCCGGAACACAAUUCCUAUGUGAACCUGCAUGGUAUAUAUGGUAAAGGUAAAUAUAUGGGUAUAUAUAACCAGCCCAUGUCCCCUGCCCUGGGCUAUGACUGUACACAAUUAAUAAAUUGCUGUUGAUCUCAUCUGUCCAGUCUUGGUGACCUGUGUUUGGCUAUCCCUGGAAUCUUAGGGUAGGAAUCUCUCCAGCAAAAAGGUAAAGAGAAGGUGGACAAGACCAUCACUCUGCUCUUGGUACUAGUAAUACAAGGCUUUCGACGAGGGGUGAAAGUUUAUUCCUUCUAAGGAGAAGCUUUUAAGAAGUUCACAUUUUCAUUCUUGUUGUUCAGGGGUGCUAUAUUUUUAUAGAGAUCAAUACUGAUUAAAGUCAGAGAGCUAAGGAUUCUAGUAGGGCCUUGGAGGGGAGGAGUAGAGAAAUCUCAACCCAGGGGUUUCAUGUGCUUCCUGAAUCUACUCAUUGACUGGCACUUGGUGUUUUCUUCAGUCAGACUGUGUUCAGGAGUUGGGUGGUCUAUUUCUGACACUGAAUGAUUUGGGGCAAAGGACCUCAUAUUUUUGGACCUCAUCUUCCUAUUCCUGAAAUGGCAAACCUAAGGCUUGCUUGAUGCCCAGGGUGCUGCAUCUCUUGCAUCCUUUUCCCUUUCUCUUGUUUCCGUGGUAUCUUUCCCCUGCCUCAUUCAGUAAAUAUUUGAAGAGCACUCACAGUGUGUCAAGGACUGUUCUAGGUGCUUUGCUUUAGUUGAAGUGUGUACCGAGGAAGUUUAAAAAAUGCAAUCAAAUGCUUACCUUUCAAUAAAAGGAAAGUAACCUCUGUGUUGGAAAGAGCAUUGUGUUGGACUUCAGACACACCUGGGUUUCCGGUCCUGAUGAUACUCAGAACGUAAGCAGCACUCUGGGCACAUGAAGCAGUGAGUCAGGCAGAGAGAAAACAUCCUUGGUUCUCAUCUGCACACUGGUCCACCUGCUUAGUACCUACAGACAUCUUCUUUGUGCUGCGUGGACCUUCAGACCGCUAUGCCUGCACUAGGCACACAAUUGCAUUUGUUCCACCAGGCUGCAAAUCCAGACACUGGAGCCCAGCACUUUUGUUUAUAAUUCCAGCAUGUGACACUUAGUAGGCACUUUUGAAUGUCUUUUGAAAGCCCCUGGUGCAGUUGCUGCGAUUUUCACAACUAGAACAUAGGAAUGAAUGUGUCCAAAUCCAAGCCACCGACCAAGGCACUCUCCUUGGCAAGACAGUGGGGCCAACACUUCUCCAAGUCGAACUUGGUCUUUGCUUUGCAUUUAGAUCAUUCUUGAACCACCUUCCAAAACCUAAUUUUUCUUUUGUUGUUAUGUCAAAUUUUCUGCUCAAAUGAUAUUUACCACCUUCGUUAGUCAUAAAUUUUAAUACUAAAGAUGUCAUAAUUCUCUGAACCUGUAAAAAUGCUUCUUUAGACAUUGAAUUAUUAUUAUUAUCUGGCCAAAUAGCCAUGGCUAAACCCUCUCUCAAGGAUAAAAAAUUGCCACUAUUAAGAAUAAUCCAAAAGAAUAUUCAAAAGGCAAUGGGAGAAACUCCUAAAGAUGUAUCAAUCUCUUUUGAACAAUGAGGAUGUCAUUGGAAAAGGAAAGUGAUUUGAGCAAUUCUUUUUUUUUUUUUUUAAUGAACAAAAAAAUAAAUCAGUCUCGUUGCUUGAGUUACCCUAUGCCUCAGGGAACAGGGAAAGGAAGGAGAGGGCCAGAGAAUUUAACAACACAGUGUUUAGAGACAGGGAUCCAAGAUGGCUUACAUGACAACUAUUGUCUCACAUUAUCUGAUUCUUAAUUUCUUCCACUUAUCGUUAGGAAGACAAACAGCCCUUUGAGGGGUCUUGGUUUGGCCCCCAUGCGAAUGAUGUGUGAUACAAAUACCUUCUUCCACUGGACUUUCCCCAGGAGUGGUAGGUGUAGUCACAUGGGCAAAGGUGUGUGCAUCCCUGGACCAGGGCCAUGGUGACUGCAAAGUGGGCCCAGGGAUGGAGGAGAUGAGCUAGCUGAGGUGAGGGACUAUAGAGAAGCAGGAGCAGCCUUAGAAAGGCACCUAGCGCCGGGGGAGAAGGUACUUCCUUGGGUAGGUCUCAGGAAGGAGGAAACAGCGAUUCCUCGGGUUUUGACAGGGAGGGAUCCCUGGGAACGUGUGGAUGGAGCAGAAUGCACAGGGAAGAGGGCCGUGUCCAGCAGAAGGAGUGGACUCAACCCAACACAUACACAACCAAGAGCUGGUUUGUGGACAGUCUACUUACCCCACUUCUCACGUUUCCUUCCAGGUUGGAAAGAGCAUCGUGGGUUCUCAUUAGGUGCUUCUCAUCUUCUGUGCAGCCAGCCCUGGGAUGUCAUAGGCUCCUUUGCCCCUCAGUUUCACCUCUAAUAGAAAAGGGAGGAUCACACGACUGGCCUGCCUCACUGGGUUGCCCUGGCGAUGGAAUGCUGUAUUCUGUGUGGAAAAAAAAAAUCAUUCAUUCGUUCGUUUGUUCAUCCAAACAUCCAUUUAUUUAUUCCUUUGGGCUUCCGUCUAGAGCAGAGGAGGAAAGGCAUGGAUAUGGGAUUUCGAUCACAUCAAGAGCUGUGACUGGCUUAUAAAGAGAGAGAACUGGAGAAUAAUGACUGGAGACACGGGAGCUUUGGCUUUGGAAAUGUUCCCUUGGUCCCUGCACUACUGGUAAUUGUGCCUUUUCUCUCUUUUCAUUAAUGGCUAAAAGGAUGAAAUCUCGAUACUGACAGAGCAGCGUCUCUUACAGACAAGUCAGUGGAGGGAAGAGUCCGCACAGAGCCACCCCUGGGUCUGCAAGGCCAGGCUGUCCUGAGCACCCCCUCACCUGUCAUAUGGCUUGCCCAACUGCCCUUUCCUCUUUUGCAAACACAACACUGAUCAAACACAGGGGGUUCUUGACUUGUCACGUCUCUGGGCAAAAUGGAAGCACAAAGGGAUCUGAAGGGUGGACAUGCUUUGCCUCCGUGCUGGGUCAUCCCUGGCAGGAUGUGUCCAGUAAUACUCCUGGGAGUGAGCUGCUUCUUUCAGGAAGAUCCUAGAAUGAAGUCUCCAGCUGGCCUCUGGGUUGACAUUGGUCAAAUGGCCUAGUGGCUUUGCCUGAGUUCACGCCCCUCCACUUUUUACCUGGGUUCUUGGGGCAGGACAGUUGCUAGGAGCCGUGACAGGAAGAUUAGGAAGAGGUGAAAGGUGAGGUUGGGAGUAGUGUUUACUCUCCCACGGUCCCUGCACGACCCAGGAUGAAUGCGGAGACGGCAGAUAAGGUUAAUCAGAGCAACAGGCUGCUUGCUUCACAGGGACAAGGCUACAAUAGUAUGAAACCCUAAGAAUGGUUUUGAUAAAGAGAGAAAUCAUAUGUUGGUUUUCACUGUUAAUUCCUUCAGAAAAUCAGGCCUUUGCAGGAGAUGGCUUGAUAUUGUCUGUAAACACAAUUAGUCUGGGGUCCCCGCCACAUGGUAGUAAAGAUGCCUUCAAAAAAAAAAAAAAAAAAAAACAGGAGGAAGAUUAAAUGAUUACAUUAGUAGAGCAAAUAUAUGUCUGAUAAAGUUUUAUGAGCUCUCCUUCCAAGAAAGGGGCUCCACAAAAGCAAUAUUUUAUUAUCCUUGUUCCAAGGCUCAGGGAAAUGCAGCCUCCCUUAUUUACCUUGGUGGUUUGUGACCAUAUUCUAUUCGUAGAACAUAUAUAAAUUAAUAUAUCUAUUAAUGACUUAUCUCCUUUUUAAUUAUUAUUUUUCAAGAAAAUUCAGACCAAGCAUCAAAUCCUUGUUAUUAACAUCAUUCAAUGCUGAAUCUUUAAAUAUGUUCUUUUACACUGUGUAUCCUUCUCUACUAGGAAAUAGCUCAAAUUUUCUCUUGUCAAAUAGCAAAACUAUAUCAUAGAAAAGUAGACAUUAAAAUAUGGAUGUAAUGUGAUCUCCUGCUCAGAUUGUGAGAUUUCCUUGAGGAAAAGGAAUUUAAGAGGUGGUUUAAAAAGGAAUUUAAAAGGAUUUUAAGAGGUGGUUCACUGACUCAGGGACCAGAAGUAGAGUUGAUAGGUGGGCACCACUGUUACCUUUUCCAUAAGCACAACCCUUAAGUAAAAUGAGAACUUCUGACCCAGAUGUCCUAGGUAUUAGACCUCACAGCUAGGGGUUGAGGCAGGCAGGUAGUUGGUGUAGGUAACGUCACAUUGUUCUCUCUAUAAAGCUUAAUCAGUGCAAUCAAACUAACUUUAUCAGGUACCUUCUCCACUGGAGGGGAACCAAGUUAUGGGAGUCACAUGUUAGUGCUAAUCACUACUGGUCUCUCUGUCAAUUGGGGAAAAACAUCCCAAAGGAAAUGUCUUUGUUGUGUUCCAUUUUGCUGAAUGACAAAAAGACAGAAUCUAGAAGGUUAGGGAGGGGAUGUUCUAGGUCUUCUAGACUUUUGUCCUAAUAAUUGGGAGGGAAAUAUAAUGGCUAGAAUGCCAUUGUUCUUCAUUUCUAAAAGGUAUACACACACACACACACACACAUACACAAGCCCAAAUGCUUGUUACACUGAGUCAUCAUGGAAACUCUGCUUAAUUAUAUUAAUUACCUAUUGAUUUAUGACAAAUGACCCCAAAACUGAAUGGCUUAAAGCAACAAUUAACAUUUAUUAUCUCACACAGUUUUUUUGGGUCAGGAGCUCAGGAGUGGCUUAGCUGGGUAGUUCCAGCUCACAGACUCUCAUUGGGUCAGAUGAUAACAGCUGGCACAGCAGUCAUCUGAAGACAGGACUAGAGCUGGAGAAUCUGAUUCCAAGAUGACAAACUUUCGUGACUGUGGACUGGGUGAGGCAUCCCAGGUCUUUACCACGUGGGCCCCACAGGGCUGCUUGAGUUCCUCAUGGCAUGGUGGCCAGCUCCUCCCAGAGUUAAUGAUCCAAGAGAAAGCAGGUAGAAGUUGAAAUGCCUUUUAUGACCUAGCCUCAGAAGUCACACUCUAUCAUCUACCAUACCCAUUGGUCAUGUAGGUCAGCCUUACCUGGGAAAGGACUACACAAAAAUAGGAAUACCAAGAGGGGAGAAUCACUGGAGACCAUCUUGGAGGCCGGCUACCAUAUUAACUUCUCUGAAUUUUCUAUGCACUGUAGCAAUAUUUUUCCAAAUGUUAUUCUGUGGUUUUCCAAAAGAUGUUAAUAGACAUUUGGCAAAACCCACUAUGUACUUUUACAUCACCCUUACCACAUACAUUGUUUACCACCACUACUAACAACACUCUUCUGUGGUCCGAAAAAAAAGGGCAAACUACACUCAGAGAGUCAUAAUUCACUUUGCAUCAUACCAGCUCUGAAGUGCACUCCUGUAAGAUGUCUUUAAAUUUGAUCCAGCAUUUCUCAAACCCCUUUGACCUUGAGUUCACUUUUAAGAAAUAUAUGGUAGUGGCUUCUAAAAUGUGAUAAUCAGAAAGAUACCAUUUGAGAAACACCUUUCUGGAAUUGUUCUACAUUAGACUCACCUGACUUCAAAUUUUCCAAGAAGGUUUCUGUGGCUCUAUGGCAUUUGUGAAGAUUCGAGCAGGGUGAGAGGAGAUCUGCCUCUGAAACCCCUGUUUUUGCCCAUUGAUGAUUCAGUCUCAGUAUGAAUCCUUCCUUGGUUCCAACAACCAUAAGACUCCAGGAAAAGACUUCAUAAAAAAAAUGGGGAAUCAUCCUACCAGCCAUUUUAUACCAGGAGUGUUUUCAUCUUGGUUGUUACAUUAAGAUGUAUUUGUUCUUAAUAAAGAAAAGAGAACAUGAUGUUACCAA